rnacentral:tRNA from 1 species
CCAUUGGUGGUUCAAUGGUAGAAUUCUCUCUUUCCAUGCAAGAGACCUGGGUUUGAGUCUCAGCCAGUGAA